rnacentral:rRNA from 1 species
AGGAUCAACGCUGGCGGCGUGCAUGAGACAUGCAAGUCGAACGGACGCUUACGGGCUUGCCUGUAAGCGUUAGUGGCGGACGGCUGAGUAACGCGUAGGUGACCUGCCCCGAAGUGGGGAAUAACUGCCCGAAAGGGUGGCUAAUACCGCAUGUGGUGAUGCGUUCGAUCGCAUCAGUAAAGCCGCAAGGCGCUUCGGGAGGGGCCUGCGUCCGAUUAGCUCGUUGGUGGGGUAACGGCUCACCAAGGCGACGAUCGGUAGGUGGUCUGAGAGGACGAUCACCCAGACUGGGACUGAGACACGGCCCAGACUCCUACGGGAGGCAGCAGUCGGGAAUUUUGCGCAAUGGACGAAAGUCCGACGCAGCAACGCCGCGUGAGGGAUGACGGCCUUCGGGUUGUAAACCUCUUUUGUCAGGGACGAUGAUGACGGUACCUGGCGAAUAAGCCACGGCUAACUACGUGCCAGCAGCCGCGGUAAUACGUAGGUGGCAAGCGUUGUCCGGAUUUACUGGGCGUAAAGAGCGCGCAGGCGGUCGAUCAAGUCGCGUGUGAAAGCCCCCGGCUCAACUGGGGAGGGUCACGCGAUACUGAUCGACUCGAAGGCAGGAGAGGGUAGUGGAAUUCCCGGUGUAGUGGUGAAAUGCGUAGAUAUCGGGAGGAACACCAGUGGCGAAGGCGACUACCUGGCCUGUUCUUGACGCUGAGGCGCGAAAGCUAGGGGAGCAAACGGGAUUAGAUACCCCGGUAGUCCUAGCCGUAAACGAUGGACACUAGGUGUUGGUGGUAUCAACCCCGCCAGUGCCGAAGCUAACGCAUUAAGUGUCCCGCCUGGGGAGUACGGCCGCAAGGCUA